rnacentral:lncRNA from 1 species
AAAUAAAAGGCUCCUACUAGCAGCAAAUUAUAAGAUAGCACUGUCACGCCCCGGGACCCAGCGAAAGCCCGUCCGGUGCGUGUCCAGACCCGCCAUAUGUCUACAACAUAUAAGGCGUCUACAACAAUGUAAUAAUAAAAGCAAUAAUGAACAAACAACUAGGGAUAUCAGAGCAUGAAUAUAACAACUAGAUUCUAAUGACAAGCAGAAUAUCAAAGAGCUAAUCCACUAAAGUAAAGCAUAAAGUAGUACAUUAAUAGGAUCCAACUAUAAGUGUUGGGUAUACAAAAAUAGUGGUCUCUACACAUGGAGACAAAAACACUUACUCUCUACAAUAUAUACAAAAAUAGAGAGACGAACCACCUAAUGAAAAUACUCCUCGCUAUCUAGCUAGAUGCGAUCCCUUUUCCACGAUCCCGAGCCUCUCCCGGUGCGGAUGGCUCUGAAAUAAAAAUAACAAACAGAGGGUGUGAGAACUAUUAGUCAAUAGUUCCCAGUGGGCAAACCGCUGAUCUCAGCGAAAUACACCACUAGGCGAUGAAGGCAUAAGUAGCAAGUUCUAACAUUUAAAAGA